rnacentral:rRNA from 1 species
UACGGGGGAGCGAGCGUUACUCAUAUGGACUGGGCGUAAAGGGUUUGUAGUGGCUUUAAAAAGUUAAAAAAGAAAAAGAAAUAGGCUCAACCUUAGAUAUUUUUGUAAACUUUAAAGCUUGAGUUUAAAAGGGAACAACAGUAUUCUUAAAAGUAGAAGUGAAAUUCAUCAAUAAUAAUGGAGACUACCAAUAGGUGAAGACGGUUUGUUUGGGUUAGACUGACACUGAGGACGAAGGCACAGGGAGCAAACAGGG